rnacentral:rRNA from 1 species
CCUACGGGAGGCAGCAGUGGGGAAUAUUGCACAAUGGGGGAAACCCUGAUGCAGCGACGCCGCGUGAGUGAAGAAGUAAUUCGUUAUGUAAAGCUCUAUCAGCAGGGAAGAAAAUGACGGUACCUGAGUAAGACGCCCCGGCUAACUACGUGCCAGCAGCCGCGGUAAUACGUAGGGGGCAAGCGUUAUCCGGAUUUACUGGGUGUAAAGGGAGCGUAGACGGCAGUGCAAGUCUGGCGUGAAAGGCGGGGGCUCAACCCCCGGACUGCUCUGGAAACUGUACGGCUGGAGUGCAGGAGAGGUAAGUGGAAGUCCUAGUGUAGCGGUGAAAUGCGGAGAUAUUAGGAGGAACACCAGUGGCGAAGGCGGCUUACUGGACUGUAACUGACGUUGAGGCUCGAAAGCGUGGGGAGCAAACAGGAUUAGAUACCCUUGUAGUC